AUUGAACGCUGGCGGCAUGCCUUACACAUGCAAGUCGAACGGUAACAGGUCUUCGGAUGCUGACGAGUGGCGAACGGGUGAGUAAUACAUCGGAACGUGCCCGAUCGUGGGGGAUAACGGAGCGAAAGCUUUGCUAAUACCGCAUACGAUCUACGGAUGAAAGCAGGGGACCGCAAGGCCUUGCGCGGACGGAGCGGCCGAUGGCAGAUUAGGUAGUUGGUGGGAUAAAAGCUUACCAAGCCGACGAUCUGUAGCUGGUCUGAGAGGACGACCAGCCACACUGGGACUGAGACACGGCCCAGACUCCUACGGGAGGCAGCAGUGGGGAAUUUUGGACAAUGGGCGCAAGCCUGAUCCAGCCAUGCCGCGUGCAGGAUGAAGGCCUUCGGGUUGUAAACUGCUUUUGUACGGAACGAAAAGACUCUGGUUAAUACCUGGGGUCCAUGACGGUACCGUAAGAAUAAGCACCGGCUAACUACGUGCCAGCAGCCGCGGUAAUACGUAGGGUGCAAGCGUUAAUCGGAAUUACUGGGCGUAAAGCGUGCGCAGGCG
rnacentral:rRNA from 1 species